GUUCCGGUAGCUCAGCUGGUAAGAGCGGCGGCCUGUUAAGCCGAUGGGCGUUGGUUCAAGUCCAACCCGGAACG
rnacentral:tRNA from 1 species